AUUGAACGCUGGCGGCAGGCCUAACACAUGCAAGUCGAGCGGAUGAAGGGAGCUUGCUCCUGGAUUCAGCGGCGGACGGGUGAGUAAUGCCUAGGAAUCUGCCUGGUAGUGGGGGAUAACGUCCGGAAACGGGCGCUAAUACCGCAUACGUCCUGAGGGAGAAAGUGGGGGAUCUUCGGACCUCACGCUAUCAGAUGAGCCUAGGUCGGAUUAGCUAGUUGGUGGGGUAAAGGCCUACCAAGGCGACGAUCCGUAACUGGUCUGAGAGGAUGAUCAGUCACACUGGAACUGAGACACGGUCCAGACUCCUACGGGAGGCAGCAGUGGGGAAUAUUGGACAAUGGGCGAAAGCCUGAUCCAGCCAUGCCGCGUGUGUGAAGAAGGUCUUCGGAUUGUAGAGCACUUUAAGUUGGGAGGAAGGGCAGUAAGUUAAUACCUUGCUGUUUUGACGUUACCGACAGAAUAAGCACCGGCUAACUUCGUG
rnacentral:rRNA from 1 species